UUUUUUGGGGUCCCAUGUUUUUUGGGGUCCCAUGUUUUAUGGGGUGCCAUGUUUUUCGGGGUGCCAGGUUUUGGGGUGCCAGGUAUUUUGGGGUGCAGGUUUCGGGGUCCCAUGU
rnacentral:lncRNA from 1 species